rnacentral:lncRNA from 1 species
GUAAGAAUCCUUACCAUGUCAGUUUCCUGGAUCUCUACCUGCCAAGUCUGGUAGAAAUGAGAAUGGUGAGAGACCUUUCUUUUUCUAAAUUUAGAUUAGCAGGAGAAAAUAUUUGUGGGCUAGUUCCUUGGGCAUAGUGACUCUGGUAAAGAUUUGGUAAUGAGUGCUCCUGUUUUCUAUCGAUACUUUUUCCUCCCAGAGAUGGCCAUUGUUUUCUUUUGUCUACUUUAUGAUCAGUGAGAAUAUUCUCUCUGGUCUCUGCCAGCUGGAGGAUGCAUACGCAUCUGGUGGGCAGCUGAAUAGACUGUGGAUCUGAGUUUAGGGAAUCUGAAAAAAAAGUGAACUUUUGGCUUGGUAAUUGUCCUCCCCUCCUCCCCACCCAGGCUACUUUUAGAACCUUCUCUUGGUUUCUUCUUUGAUUCUGCAGUUUCAUCGUGAUGUGUCUCGAGGAGAAAAUGCAUCCAUCUGUUCCAGAAGGAAAAACCGCAGCCAAAAUGUGCAACUGGGACCUAAUUCCUUAGCAGCAGAGCAGGAGGAAGAGGAGUGCUGUUACCAGAAGAAGACAGCCAGCCACGAUGACAGGCAAAAACCAGAGACGGCCACUCUAAGUUUGGAAUCAUGGCGGCUCUGUCCCUCAAUAGCUGGGUGACCUUGGUGUGGUGGGCACGGUGAUGUGAAGAGGCCCGGUCCCCCUUCAAGGAAGGAU